GAGGAUGUCUGUCUAAUGUAGGAGAAGCCUUGUGAGAGUUUGCAAGGGGAAUGGCUGAAUUUGUAAUGAUACUUUUACUGGGGCUCUGUCUUUCUUGCUUUCACCUCACAAGACAAGAGACCUGUAGUGCCCCAGGGAAUCUUACUUCACCUCAGAUGUUUUCAUUCACUUCAUCUGAUGAUGGAGGAGAUACAGUUUGGGUGAACUGUCAGAUACCUCCACUCUCCAAGUUUUCCCGGGUAAUUUUGUGUAAAGAUGGAAAAGAAAUGAAAAGCAAGCAACAAGAAGACAGUAUAUUUGAAUAUAACUUUUAUUAUAAAAUAUCAGAAGAGGGUGCAGGGCAGAUUUCAUGCAUGUACCAGCUCAGGGACACUGCCAACCGGGUGAAGAAUUCUGCUCUCAG